rnacentral:rRNA from 1 species
GACGAACGCUGGCGGCGUGCUUAACACAUGCAAGUCGAACGCUGACGACCUGGCUUUUGUUGGGUUGGGUGAGUGGCGAACGUGUUAGUAACACGUGAGUAACCUGCCCUCGUCUUUGGGAUAACGCCCGGAAACGGGUGCUAAUACUGUAUAUUCACUGAUCUUCGCAUGGGGUUUGGUGCAAGGGGUUGUUCUGGUGGGUGAUGGGCUCGCUGCCUAUCGGCUUGUUGGUGGGGUGAUGGCCUAACAAGGCUUUGACGGGUAGCGGGCCUGGGAGGGUGACAGGUCAAAUUGGACAUGAGACACGGCCCUGACGCAUGCGGGAGGCAGCAGUGGGGAAUAUUGCACAAUAGGCGAAAGCAUGAAGCAGCGACGCCGGGAGAGGGAUGGAGGCCUUCGGGUUGCAAACCUAUUUCGCUAAUGGUCAAGCCGUAACUGUGGGUUGUGGUGAGGGUAGUGGGUAAAGAAGCGCCGGCUAACUACGUG